rnacentral:rRNA from 1 species
AGAAGCUUGCUUCUUGGGUGACGAGCGGCGGACGGGUGAGUAACGCGUAGGAAUCUACCUAAUGGUGGGGGAUAGCCCAGGGAAACUUGGAUUAAUACCGCAUAAGUCCUAAGGGAGAAAGCGGGGGAUCUUCGGACCUCGUGCCAUUAGAUGAGCCUGCGUAAGAUUAGCUAGUUGGUGAGGUAAGAGCUCACCAAGGCGACGAUCUUUAGCUGGUCUGAGAGGAUGAUCAGCCACACUGGGACUGAGACACGGCCCAGACUCCUACGGGAGGCAGCAGUGGGGAAUAUUGGACAAUGGGGGCAACCCUGAUCCAGCCAUGCCGCGUGUGUGAAGAAGGCCUUCGGGUUGUAAAGCACUUUCAGAUGUGAGGAAAGGUUGCAGAUUAAUACUCUGUAGCUGUGACGUUAACAUCAGAAGAAGGACCGGCUAACUCCGUGCCAGCAGCCGCGGUAAUACGGAGGGUCCGAGCGUUAAUCGGAAUUACUGGGCGUAAAGCGCGCGUAGGUGGUUUCGUCAGUCAGAUGUGAAAGCCCAGGGCUCAACCUUGGAAUUGCACCUGAUACUGCGGGACUAGAGUACGAUAGAGGGGAGUGGAAUUUCCGGUGUAGCGGUGAAAUGCGUAGAUAUCGGAAGGAACACCAGUGGCGAAGGCGACUCCCUGGAUUGAUACUGACACUGAGGUGCGAAAG